UUUGAGAUAUUGGAAUAUUGGAAGAAUAAUGCAACAAAGUAUAGAGUGUUAUCUCAAAUAGCAAAGGAUGUGUUGGCCAUGCCCAUUUCUACCGUUGCUUCGGAGUCGGCUUUCAGUACCGGGGGACGUAUCCUUGAUCCAUUCCGUAGUUCACUUGCCCCUUCCAUGGUUGAAGCUCUUGUAUGCACACAAAAUUGGCUUAAAAGCAACCUUCCAAUUUCUCUUCGAAAAGCAAUGGAUGAUGUGAAGGAAUUUGAGCAAUACGACUCGGGUACUUUGGAGCCAUGUUCCUCUUCAACCCCAAAGUCUAAUGUAGAUGCUAUAAUUGAACUUUAAUGUUCAUUUGGCUCAUAUUGUUGGAUGAGAUUGGACAUUGGAAGAUGGACCUAAAGAGUUUAGUGAAGCCUUGGAUGGAUACCACCUUUUGAAAUUAUUUUGGAUGAAGUUUGUAGACAAUGUUAUUUUAGUUUGUAACUAAUGUUUAUUAUUAUUUUUUUUAUUUUGGAUGAAUGCAAAAUUAAUUGGAGCACUAAAUUUUAGGUAAGCUUGCUUUAGAUUUUGGAUGGAUGGAUGGAUGAAAACUAAUUUAUUUUAGUUUCUAACUAGUUAUUAUUAUUAUUUUUGCAUUUUGGAUUAAUGGGUAAGCUUUGGAUUAUGGAUGGAUGGAGAUAACUAGUUAUUAUUAUUAUUUUUACAUUUUGGAUGAAUGUAAAAUUUAGGUAAACUUUAGAUUAUGGAUGGAUGGAGAUGACUAGUUAUUAUUAUUAUUUUUGUAUUUUGGAUGAAUGUAAAAUUUAGGUAAGCUUUGGAUUAUGGAUGGAUGGAGAUUGAUUUUAGUGUGAAUUUUAAUGUUUUAGUUUGUAAUUAGUUUUAUCAAUUAUUUUUGUAUUUUGGAAGAAUGUAAAAUUUAUUAUAUCAUUAUAUGGGCAUUUAUGUUAUCAUGAAUUUAAUUUAUAACUUUUCCAUAAAUAAUAAAAAAAUGCUUAAAAAGUAGCCCAACAUGUCAAAUUUGUUCAAAUUAAUAUCAUAACUAAGCCCAAUUUAAAAAAA